rnacentral:tRNA from 1 species
GGAGAGGUGGCUGAGUGGUCGAUAGCACUUCAUUGCUAAUGAAGCGUUCGGGUCAAACUGAACCGCAGGUUCGAAUCCUGUCCUCUCCG